GAGAUUGCAGCUCCAGUGAGAAGCUUCUUCAGAUGUUUCAGCCACCGGAAAACGCCGUUUGCCGGGACUUCGAGGAGAGACCAGUAACAAAUCUCUUGAGGCUAUGGUGAUUGAUGCUGGGAAAGAGUCCUUACAAUGGGGAGUGGCUGCAGGAUUAUACUCAGGUCUAACAUAUGGGCUGAAGGAAGCUCGUGGAGCUCAUGACUGGAAAAACAGUGCAGUUGCUGGGGCAA